rnacentral:rRNA from 1 species
CGAGGGGUAGGGGCUUUCGGGCCUUGAGACCGGCGCACGGGUGCGUAACGCGUAUGCAAUCUGCCUUAUACUAAGGGAUAGCCCAGAGAAAUUUGGAUUAAUACCUUAUAGUAUAUAGAUGUGGCAUCACAUUUAUAUUAAAGAUUUAUCGGUAUAAGAUGAGCAUGCGUCCCAUUAGCUAGUUGGUAUGGUAACGGCAUACCAAGGCAAUGAUGGGUAGGGGUCCUGAGAGGGAGAUCCCCCACACUGGUACUGAGACACGGACCAGACUCCUACGGGAGGCAGCAGUGAGGAAUAUUGGUCAAUGGGCGCAAGCCUGAACCAGCCAUGCCGCGUGCAGGAUGACGGUCCUAUGGAUUGUAAACUGCUUUUGUACGGGAAGAAACAACUCUUCGUGAAGAGUCUUGACGGUACCGUAAGAAUAAGGAUCGGCUAACUCCGUGCCAGCAGCCGCGGUAAUACGGAGGAUCCAAGCGUUAUCCGGAAUCAUUGGGUUUAAAGGGUCCGUAGGCGGUUUUAUAAGUCAGUGGUGAAAUCCGGCAGCUCAACUGUCGAACUGCCAUUGAUACUGUAGAACUUGAAUUAUUAUGAAGUAACUAGAAUAUGUAGUGUAGCGGUGAAAUGCUUAGAUAUUACAUGGAAUACCAAUUGCGAAGGCAGGUUACUAAUAAUAUAUUGACGCUGAUGGACGAAAGCGUGGGGAGCGAACAGGAUUAGAUACCCUGGUAGUCCACGCCGUAAACGAUGGAUACUAGCUGUUCGGUAGUAAUACUGAGUGGCUAAGCGAAAGUGAUAAGUAUCCCACCUGGGGAGUACGAACGCAAGUUUGAAACUCAAAGGAAUUGACGGGGGCCCGCACAAGCGGUGGAGCAUGUGGUU